AGAGUUUGAUCAUGGCUCAGGAUGAACGCUGGCGGCGUGCUUAACACAUGCAAGUCGAACGAACCUUCGGGUUAGUGGCGGACGGGUGAGUAACGCGUGGGAAUCUGCCCUCAGGAGGGGGAUAACGGCUGGAAACGGCCGCUAAUACCCCAUAUGCCGAGAGGUGAAAUGAAUUUCGCCUGAGGAUGAGCCCGCGUCUGAUUAGCUAGUUGGUGAGGUAAGAGCUCACCAAGGCAUCGAUCAGUAGCUGGUCUGAGAGGAUGAUCAGCCACACUGGGACUGAGACACGGCCCAGACUCCUACGGGAGGCAGCAGUGGGGAAUUUUCCGCAAUGGGCGAAAGCCUGACGGAGCAACGCCGCGUGAGGGAUGAAGGCCUCUGGGCUGUAAACCUCUUUUCUCAAGGAAGAAGAUCUGACGGUACUUGAGGAAUAAGCCACGGCUAAUUCCGUGCCAGCAGCCGCGGUAAUACGGGAGUGGCAAGCGUUAUCCGGAAUUAUUGGGCGUAAAGCGUCCGCAGGCGGCCCUUCAAGUCUGCUGUUAAAAAGUGGAGCUUAACUCCAUCAUGGCAGUGGAAACUGUUGGGCUUGAGUGUGGUAGGGGCAAAGGGAAUUCCCGGUGUA
rnacentral:rRNA from 1 species